UGUAAGCGUAUACCAAAGUUGUUGCAGUUAAAACGCUCGUAGUCGGAUUUUGGCGGUUCCGGAAGUGUGCCGCGUCGUGCGGCCGCUUUGCAGGGACUGCUUUUGUGGGGGUGCGUCAGAUGAGGGCUGUUAAUUCGGUAACGUCUGUACGCAACCACUUUUUACUGUGAGAAAAUCAGAGUGCUCAAAGCAGGCAUUUGCCGUGAAUGUAUUAGCAUGGAAUAAUAGAAUAGGACUUAGUCUUAUUUUGUUGGUUUGUUAGGACCGAGUAAUGAUUAAGAGGGACAGUUGGGGGCAUUUGUAUUUCGGCGCUAGAGGUGAAAUUCUUAGAUUGCCGAAAGACAAACUGCUGCGAAAGCGUCUGCCAAGGAUGUUUUCAUUGA
rnacentral:rRNA from 1 species